rnacentral:rRNA from 1 species
UUACAGGCUUAACACAUGCAAGUCGAGGGGCAGCAUGGUCUUAGCUUGCUAAGGCCGAUGGCGACCGGCGCACGGGUGAGUAACACGUAUCCAACCUGCCGUCUACUCUUGGACAGCCUUCUGAAAGGAAGAUUAAUACAAGAUGGCAUCAUGAGUCCGCAUGUUCACAUGAUUAAAGGUAUUCCGGUAGACGAUGGGGAUGCGUUCCAUUAGAUAGUAGGCGGGGUAACGGCCCACCUAGUCUUCGAUGGAUAGGGGUUCUGAGAGGAAGGUCUCCCACAUUGGAACUGAGACACGGUCCAAACUCCUACGGGAGGCAGCAGUGAGGAAUAUUGGUCAAUGGGCGAGAGCCUGAACCAGCCAAGUAGCGUGAAGGAUGACUGCCCUAUGGGUUGUAAACUUCUUUUAUAAAGGAAUAAAGUCGGGUAUGGAUACCCGUUUGCAUGUACUUUAUGAAUAAGGAUCGGCUAACUCCGUGCCAGCAGCCGCGGUAAUACGGAGGAUCCGAGCGUUAUCCGGAUUUAUUGGGUUUAAAGGGAGCGUAGAUGGAUGUUUAAGUCAGUUGUGAAAGUUUGCGGCUCAACCGUAAAAUUGCAGUUGAUACUGGAUAUCUUGAGUGCAGUUGAGGCAGGCGGAAUUCGUGGUGUAGCGGUGAAAUGCUUAGAUAUCACGAAGAACUCCGAUUGCGAAGGCAGCCUGCUAAGCUGCAACUGACAUUGAGGCUCGAAAGUGUGGGUAUCAAACAGGAUUAGAUACCCUGGUAGUCCACACGGUAAACGAUGAAUACUCGCUGUUUGCGAUAUACUGCAAGCGGCCAAGCGAAAGCGUUAAGUAUUCCACCUGGGGAGUACGCCGGCAACGGUGAAACUCAAAGGAAUUGACGGGGGCCCGCACAAGCGGAGGAACAUGUGGUUUAAUUCGAUGAUACGCGAGGAACCUUACCCGGGCUUAAAUUGCAGAUGAAUUACGGUGAAAGCCGUAAGCCGCAAGGCAUCUGUGAAGGUGCUGCAUGGUUGUCGUCAGCUCGUGCCGUGAGGUGUCGGCUUAAGUGCCAUAACGAGCGCAACCCUUGUUGUCAGUUACUAACAGGUUCCGCUGAGGACUCUGACAAGACUGCCAUCGUAAGAUGUGAGGAAGGUGGGGAUGACGUCAAAUCAGCACGGCCCUUACGUCCGGGGCUACACACGUGUUACAAUGGGGGGUACAGAGGGCCGCUACCACGCGAGUGGAUGCCAAUCCCCAAAACCUCUCUCAGUUCGGACUGGAGUCUGCAACCCGACUCCACGAAGCUGGAUUCGCUAGUAAUCGCGCAUCAGCCACGGCGCGGUGAAUACGUUCCCGGGCCUUGUACACACCGCCCGUCAAGCCAUGGGAGCCGGGGGUACCUGAAGUGCGUAACCGCGAGGAGCGCCCUAGGGUAAAACUGGUGACUGGGCU